rnacentral:lncRNA from 1 species
AGUAUGCUUCAUUUACAGGAUAAUUUAUGUUGGUGAGUUGAAUCACUUGGUUUUAGAUGAAUGUUGCAGUUAUGUCUCUUCCAGCAAUCACAAAAUUCAAAACAACAUCUCUUAAUCUCUGCCUUUCUUGUUCUAAUAACUGAGUAAGUAAAAUCAUCAAUGAUUUUGAUGCUCUUGUCAAGUUGUGCUUCUGAGCCAAGAUAAUAAUAUAAGCAUAUGAUAAAAAAAAUGUUUGUAUUUUGUAGCACCUACAUGUCUAUUUGUUGGUUGAGAUAAGAUGCUUGAUUGAGAAUGGAUGAGAGUUUUAAAGCAUACUCUUUGCAGACAUAUUCUUAAUAAGUUGAUAUCAAAGAAUAUUGAUUUUCUUAUUUUGAUUGUUUUGGUUAAUUUUAUAGUAACAUACAAGUGUAUUCAUGUUUAUAAGGCUUCGUGGUAUAUAGUUACUAUGGUGUUAAAGUGUUGACCAAUAUAUAUAUAUAUAUAUAUAAUCAUUUGCUUACCAUAUACCAUUGUUUGAUUUUCCUGCUGAUAAAUCAACAAUUUUUUCAAUUUCUCAGGCACGUGCUGUAUUAAUUAAUGCAAGUCAAGCAAAUGCAGCUACGGUAAGCUACUCAAUCUCUUUCCAUUUGAUGUGUCUGUGGGCUGGCCUUG